AUAUCAAUAAGCGGAGGAAAAGAAACUAACAAGGAUUCCCCUAGUAAUGGCGAGUGAAGCAGGAUGAGCUCAAAUUUGAAAUCUGGCUGGUUUACUAGUCCGAGUUGUAAUUUAAAGAAGCGUUUUCAGUGGCAGCCUGGGUAUAAAUCCUUUGGAAUAGGGUAUCAUAGAGGGUGAGAAUCCCGUCUUUGACCUAGUGCAUGCUACUAUGUGAUACGUUUUCAAAGAGUCGAGUUGUUUGGGAAUGCAGCUCGAAAUGGAUGGUAAAUUUCAUCUAAAGCUAAAUAUUGGCGAGAGACUGAUAGUGAACAAGUACUGUGAGGGAAAGAUGAAAAGAACUUUGAAAAGAGAGUUAAACAGUGC
rnacentral:rRNA from 1 species